rnacentral:rRNA from 1 species
UAAUUGCAUCAAUUAUUUAAACAUUGAUGCAAUAUCGACUCUGUUGAAUAAAAUUCUAGGUAGAAUUAUGAUAAUGACAUUGUCUACCUAUGUGUCUUGACCAAAUUACGUGCCAGCAGUCGCGGUAAUACGUAGAAGACUAGUGUUAUUCAUCUUUAAUAGGUUUAAAGGGUACCUAGACGGUAAAUCAAGCCUGCAAUAUGGGACUAAUGUACUAGAGUUACUUACGAGGGGGUAUUAAAGUACUGCUGGUGUAGAGAUGAAAUUCUGUCAUACCUCGUUUCGGAAGAAACACUAUGGCACAGGUAUAGGCGAAAGCAUCCCCUUAUGUGAUAACUGACGUUGAAGGACGAAGGCUUUGUGUAGCGAACAGGAUUAGAUACCCCAGUAGUCAAAGCAGAAAAUGAUGAAUGUCAUAGAUUAGAUGUAUAGUUUAUUCUAUAAAUGAAAGUGUAAGCAUUCCACCUCAAGAGUAAUUUGGCAACAUUGGAACUGAAAUCAUUAGACCGUUUCUGAAACCAGUAGUGAAGUAUGUUGUUUAAUUUGAUAGUCCGCAAAAAACCUUACCACAAUUUGAAUAUUUAGAUUUUUAUUUUCUCUUCCUAAUAUUUGGAUAUAAGUUCGAGUCUUAGAUAAGAACUUAUUAGCUCAAAGAUAGAGUAGAAUAUUUAAGAAAAGAAAAUAAAUCCAUUUACAAGCGUUGCAC